rnacentral:rRNA from 1 species
AUUGAACGCUGGCGGCAGGCCUAACACAUGCAAGUCGAACGAGUGGCGGACGGGUGAGUAAUGUCUGGGAAACUGCCUGAUGGAGGGGGCUAACUACUGGAAACGGUAGCUAAUACCGCAUACCAUCGGAUGUGCCCAGAUGGGUUUAGCUAGUAGGUGGGGUAAAGGCUCACCUAGGCGACGAUCCCUAGCUGGUCUGAGAGGAUGACCAGCCACACUGGAACUGAGAAACGGUCCAGACUCCUACGGGAGGCAGCAGUGGGGAAUAUUGCACAAUGGGCGCAAGCCUGAUGCAGCCAGGCCGCGUGUAUGAAGAAGGCCUUCGGGUUGUAAAGUACUUUCAGCGAGGAGGCGUUACUCGCAGAAGAAGCACCGGCUAACUCCGUGCCAGCAGCCGCGGUAAUUC